UCAAACACGUGGCUCACAUUUAACGUUAAUAAUGAUUCUUACCGAUAAGUAGAUAAAUAAAACAAAAAUAAAUUCAAUUUUCUUUUAAGUCAGCAGUGGCUGAGUCUUUUCGGCACCAUGUAUGGCGCUCCAAAACAAACUAGGCUCUUUAAUAUAAGAGCUAUAUUGUCAUAAAUAUAAACUAAGAUGGGUCAAGGUGUCAAAACUUUUACUUUAAGAUUCAGUUUUGAGAAAAGACAAACAUAUGGGUAAUGUUGUGCUAAUUGAUAACUAAUAGAGGUAAAAGAAUAAAAAAUUAAAAACAUCUAAUUUUCUAAGAAAUUUGUGAACUUUGGUAUUGUUUUGUUACCGUGUAAUGUUGAUAGAUUAGAAUGAUAUCCAGCUUACUGCUGAUACAAAUUAGAACAUUGAUGAUAGCUUUAGGAAUAAGAUCAUAGGCCUGAAUGGUGGUGUUUAUGGCUUCUUCAGCUCGCUGCCGCCACACAUCAUCAAAAUCAAUGAUAUACGCCAAAGGCCGUGAAUGGAGGUGGCAAGGGAGAAGAGCAAGAUCAGCCUCAACCUGGCAAACUCCAUAAUCAAUUUAUUAAUUGAUUUUACUCGUGUAAUUUUUUACUUUCUCUUUCAGUGCAUACAUAUUUGUAGAGUCAAUACCUAUUUCAGUUUUGCCAGCAAGCUUAACAUACAGUGUUGUACCAUUGGGUUGUAAGUAAGCAAUAACAAAAUUAAUUAAACUGUUUACUUUUUAGAGGCUAUUGAAUUCGUGUAGAAUUUAAGAAUUUUUACUAAAACUCAUUCCGUUAUUUAAAUAAAUUACUA
rnacentral:lncRNA from 1 species